GCGGUCGUAGCUCAGACGGAUAGAGCGGUUGCCUCCUAAGCAAUAGGCCACAGGUUCGACUCCUGUCGAUCGCACCA
rnacentral:tRNA from 1 species